UCAUGCCCAUAACAGAAGAAGUUCAUUACUCUGCACUCUAUCACACACGAAUCUAGGGUUUCAAAAUAAAACCCCUUUGCACUUUCAUGUCAACAAAAUUCUUUCAUAUCUCUGAAUCAAUUCAUUUGAUCCGAUUCAUGUUUUUACAAUCAAAUGGCUGCUGCAAUAUACAGUCUUUUCAUUACUAACAAAUCUGGGGGUCUCAUUUUCUACAAGGAUGGAACUUCUUGAAGCCGAUACCUUUGAUCUUCAUUGUUUACAACACGUAAGUAAUUGACUAUCUAUGUGAGAAGCUGAUUUUGCCCCAUAUUAAAAUCCUUCCGUUUCUUUUCCCUAUCACUCUUCCUUCGUUGAAGGUUAAACCUAGAAAAUCACCAAAUCAACUAAAUUACCAAAUUCCCUUCACUUCCUCUUCUUUGUUAUGAUACAAACCACAACACUAAUCCAAACCCCAAACUUCAAAACAACCUCGAAUGAAAAUGAUGGAUUAAGUUUCUGGAAAUUCAUGAUUGCAGGUUCAAUUGCAAGGAUUGUUGAACACGUGGCUUUGUUCCCAGUAGAUAUGCUGUUGCUGGGGGCAUUGUAGUAGUCAUCAUCAUCCUCAAAUUGGUAGAUUUUUACUUCAAUUAUGUGAAAAGUUCAUUUAGGACUUAAUAGAGGAAUUGCAGCAAUGGGUCAUGGUGCUGGCCCUGCUCAUGCUUUUUAUUUCUAUGUUUAUGAAUCCUGUACAAAUAAGAAUAUGUGGUAAUGAACUGGGGCAUCAUCCAUUCAUGCACUCGGUUUGUGGCAUUAUUGUCACGACUGCAAGCGAUGCCAUGUUGACUCCUUUGGAUGUUGUUAAGCAGAGAUUGCAGUUGAAAAGAAGGUCCUUAUAAUGCUGUUAAAGAUUGUGUUAUGAGAAUGUUUAAAGAAGAGAGGUUUCGAGCUUUUUAUGAGAGUUCUAGGACUACUUUUGUUAUGAGCACCUUUUACUUCCGUGCAUUUUGCUACAUAUGAAGCUAUGAAGAAAGUUUUUGAGUGAUAUUUCACUGGAGAAUGCUAGUGAAGAGCAACUAAAGGUUCAUGUUAUGGCUGGCGGAACUGUGGGUGCUAUCGCUGGUGCGGUUACUACUCCAUUGGAUGUUGUUAAGACAAGAUCACGGUGUCAGGGAGGCUACUUGCAGCAGUCAUAGCUAAUUACAUGGAUUGGGAGCAAUUGAGCCAAAACCUUAAUGUUUUAUCUACUCGACUGUAAUUUGCAAAAGGAUUUUGGAAAGCUGAGUAGAGGGGGAUUGGAGGAAGCCCUUUGCUUUGAACUUACUUGGAGGGUUUUUGAAGUUUGAGACACUGGCGUAUCCUCGUAUGGGCUCUUGUGGGCACCUGCCCCUAUGUGAAUUUAGAUGACGGAAACAGACUGUUGGAUUUCAGCAGGAUACUGUACCCGUUCAUGUGAGAAGCUGAGUUUUCCCCAAAUUAAAAAUCCUUCUCUUUUUCAUCAAAAAUAAAAAUAAAAAAAUAAAAUCCUUCCUUUUUCCGUUUCUCUCUCCCUUAAACCUACUGAAGCUUAAACCAAGAAGUUCAUCAAAUCUACUCAAUUACCACCAUCUGUCCGUCACCACCACCUAAUCGCCUUCACUUCCUCCUCAUUGUUAUGACAAAAACCACAACACAGAUCCAAAACCUGUAAAUUGUAAGAACGGCUGAUUACAUGGCUAUGUUCCCAGUAGAUAGACUCAAAACCUGUAUGCACAUGCUCGGUGCAACAUCUUCUUCGUAUUAUUUUUCCCUGCUGCUGCAUCUUAUAGUAGUCAUCAUCAAAUUGGUGAAUUUUUUUACUUUAGUUAUGUGAAAAGAAGGCCAUUUAGGACUUUAUAGAGAAAUUGCAGCAACUAUUCUUGGUGCUGGCCCUGCUCAUGCUGUUUAUUUCUGUGUAUAAAACUUGUAAAAUUUUUUUAGCUGGUAAUGAACCUGGGCAUCAUUCGUUUGUGCACAUGGUUUCUGGCGUAAUUACUAUGAGUAAUUACUGUGAGCGGUGUGUUGUUGACUCCUUUGGAUGUUGUUAAGCAGAGGCAGUUGAAAAGAAGUUCUUACAAUGCUGUUGAAGAUUGUGCUAUGAAAAUGUUUAAAGUGGGGAGAUUUAGAGCCUUUUAUGCGAGUUUUAGGUGUACUAUUUUUAUGAAUGCACCUUUUACUGCUGUGCAUGUUGCUACAAUUAUGAGGCUGUGAAGAAGGUUUUGAGUGAGAUAUCGCCAGAGAAUGCUAGUGAAACGCAACUAAUUGUUCAUGUUGUGGCUGGUGGGGCUGUGGAUGCUCUUGCUGGUGCGGUUACUACUCUGUUGGAAGUUGUUGAGACAAGAUUGCAAUAUCAGGUAUGAACUGAGAUCAUUGAUACAUUUCUUGUUUUUCGAUAUUUGGUUUUUGGUUUGAACUGAAUAAUUAUGAUAUCAUCCGGCAUUGAAGGUCGAAGUAGGAAACUUAAUGUGUUUCGUAUGUGAUUAGUUGAAUUGUAGCGGUGAUUGGGUUGGGAUUUUGUACAUGUAGAACUGGUUCAGUCUUGAUAUGUUUGUUGAACUUUUUCUGUAAAUGAGGUAAUCUUUAGAUGCAUCAAGAAUUCCGAUGAAACAUAUAGAAAACAGGGAAACUUGUUAUUGAUGAAA